rnacentral:rRNA from 1 species
UGGGGAAUAUUGCACAAUGGGCGAAAGCCUGAUGCAGCAACGCCGCGUGAGCGAUGAAGGCCUUCGGGUCGUAAAGCUCUGUCCUCAAGGAAGAUAAUGACGGUACUUGAGGAGGAAGCCCCGGCUAACUACGUGCCAGCAGCCGCGGUAAUACGUAGGGGGCUAGCGUUAUCCGGAUUUACUGGGCGUAAAGGGUGCGUAGGUGGUUUCUUAAGUCAGGAGUGAAAGGCUACGGCUCAACCGUAGUAAGCUCUUGAAACUGGGAAACUUGAGUGCAGGAGAGGAAAGUGGAAUUCCUAGUGUAGCGGUGAAAUGCGUAGAUAUUAGGAGGAACACCAGUAGCGAAGGCGGCUUUCUGGACUGUAACUGACACUGAGGCACGAAAGCGUGGGGAGCAAACA